GAUCAUGGCUCAGGAUGAACGCUGGCGGCGUGCUUAACACAUGCAAGUCGAACGGGAAACCUUUUAUUGAAGCUUCGGCAGAUUUAGCUGGUUUCUAGUGGCGGACGGGUGAGUAACGCGUGGGUAACCUGCCUUGUACAGGGGGAUAACAGUCAGAAAUGACUGCUAAUACCGCAUAAGCGCACAGGACCGCAUGGUCCGGUGUGAAAAACUCCGGUGGUAUAAGAUGGACCCGCGUUGGAUUAG
rnacentral:rRNA from 1 species